rnacentral:rRNA from 1 species
GACGAACGCUGGCGGCAUGCCUAACACAUGCAAGUCGAACGGAGAAAAGAAGCUUGCUUCUUUUCUUAGUGGCGGACGGGUGAGUAACGCGUGAGUAACCUGCCUUUCAGAGGGGGAUAACGUUCUGAAAAGAACGCUAAUACCGCAUAACACUACAGAGCUGCAUGGCUUUGUGGUCAAAGGAGCAAUCCGCUGAAAGAUGGACUCGCGUCCGAUUAGAUAGUUGGCGGGGUAACGGCCCACCAAGUCGACGAUCGGUAGCCGGACUGAGAGGUUGAACGGCCACAUUGGGACUGAGACACGGCCCAG